AUGUGCCAGAGCAUGUCAGAAAGAAAGAGACAAGAAGAAGAAGAACAAUCUUCAGCCAUGAUCCAAUGCAUGAAGACAUUACUCAUGUUUGUUGCCUAUUUAUCUGAGGGGGACUCUGUUACUCAACCUAAAGAUGAGUCAGGUCUGGAGGGCAGCACGGUGACACUCAGCUGUCAGUAUGAGACCACAGCAGCAGCAGCUAAUCAAUAUCUCUUCUGGUACCAGCAGAAGCCAAAUGGAUUCCCCAGAUAUAUGCUACAGAAAACUAAAUAUGGAGAUAGCUCUGAUGACCACUUUAUGGGAAGAUUCAAUGCUACACUCAACACUGAUGCAACAACUGUUCCUCUGAAGAUUCGGGAUCUGCAGGUGUCUGACUCUGCUGUGUACUACUGUGCUCUGAGGCCAACAGUGACAGCUGCACACUCAACACUCAUACAAAAAGUGUCUGACCGCAACCCUCUCCCGUGA